rnacentral:rRNA from 1 species
AGCAGUAGCCGCGGUAAUACGAAGGGGGCUAGCGUUGUUCGGAUUUACUGGGCGUAAAGCGCACGUAGGCGGACUUUUAAGUCAGGGGUGAAAUCCCGGGGCUCAACCCCGGAACUGCCUUUGAUACUGGAAGUCUUGAGUAUGGUAGAGGUGAGUGGAAUUCCGAGUGUAGAGGUGAAAUUCGUAGAUAUUCGGAGGAACACCAGUGGCGAAGGCGGCUCACUGGACCAUUACUGACGCUGAGGUGCGAAAGCGUGGGGAGCAAACAGGAUUAGAUACCCCAGUAGUCCCUGUCUCUUAUAA